rnacentral:rRNA from 1 species
GAUGAACGCUGGCGACGUGCCUAAUACAUGCAAGUCGAGCGAACGGACGAGAAGCUUGCUUCUCUGAUGUUAGCGGCGGACGGGUGAGUAACACGUGGAUAACCUACCUAUAAGACUGGGAUAACUUCGGGAAACCGGAGCUAAUACCGGAUGAUAUUUUGAACCGCAUGGUUCAAAAGUGAAAGACGGUCUUGCUGUCACUUAUAGAUGGAUCCGCGCUGCAUUAGCUAGUUGGUAAGGUAACGGCUUACCAAGGCAACGAUGCAUAGCCGACCUGAGAGGGUGAUCGGCCACACUGGAACUGAGACACGGUCCAGACUCCUACGGGAGGCAGCAGUAGGGCAUCUUCCGCAAUGGGCGAAAGCCUGACGGAGCAACGCCGCGUGAGUGAUGAAGGUCUUCGGAUCGUAAAACUCUGUUAUUAGGGAAGAACAUAUGUGUAAGUAACUGUGCACAUCUUGACGGUACCUAAUCAGAAAGCCACGGCUAACUACGUG